rnacentral:rRNA from 1 species
CUGGGGUAAGUGAGUGCUUCUACACUGUGAAAAUUUGGCUGAGAGACUCAGACUGGUCAUGGGUAGACCUAUCUGGGGUUUGAUCGAUGCCACUCCUGGUUUCAGGAGCACCCUUCAUAAUAAACCUAGAAAUUCAGUAUUAUAAAGUUUAAUAAAAAACAACUUUUAACAAUGGAUCUCUUGGUUCUCGCAUCGAUGAAGAACGUAGCAAAGUGCGAUAACUAGUGUGAAUUGCAUAUUCAGUGAAUCAUCGAGUCUUUGAACGCAGCUUGCACUCUAUGGUUUUUCUAUAGAGUACGCCUGCUUCAGUAUCAUCACAAACCCACACAUAACAUUUGUUUAUGUGGUAAUGGGUCGCAUCGCUGUUUUAUUACAGUGAGCACCUAAAAUGUGUGUGAUUUUCUGUCUGGCUUGCUAGGCAGGAAUAUUACGCUGGUCUCAGGAUCUUUUUCUUUGGUUCGCCCAGGAAGUAAAGUACAAGAGUAUAAUCCAGCAACUUUCAAACUAUGAUCUGAAGUCAGGUGGGAUUACCCGCUGAACUUAAGCAUAUCAAAAACCGGGGGGGGGCGGGCCUUUUCAUUUGGUUGAAGGACCAUAACAUAGGGGUGGCGGGAGGGGUAAGUGAUUGCGUCUACACUGUGAAAAUGUGGCAGAGAGACUCAGACUGGGUCAGGGGUAGACUAUCUGGGGUGUGAUCGAUGCCACUCCCGGUUUCAGGAGCACCCUUCAUAAUAAACCUAGGAAUUUCAGUAUUAUAAAGUUUAUAAAAACACUUUCACAAUGGAUCUCUGGGUUCUCGCA